ACGGAGGAUGCAAGCGUUAUCCGGAUUCAUUGGGUUUAAAGGGUGCGUAGGCGGACUAUUAAGUCAGUGGUGAAAUCCUGCAGCUUAACUGCAGAACUGCCGUUGAUACUGAUAGUCUUGAGUUUGGUUAAGGUAGGCGGAAUGUGUAAUGUAGCGGUGAAAGGCCUAGAUGUUACGCAGAACACCGAAUGCGUAGGCAGCUUACUGGGCCGACACUGACGCUGAGGCACGAAAGCGAGGGGAUCGAUCAG
rnacentral:rRNA from 1 species